rnacentral:piRNA from 1 species
UCUUGACUUUUGGGAAAAAAUGCACACCUU